GUAUUUGGUUCUUUUUGACGUGUGUGUGAGUGUGUGUGUAUGUGUGUGUGUGUGUGUGUGUGUGUGUGUGUGUGUGUGUGUGAUGUGACACCAUAACCUGUGACACCCACAUGGAACUCUGUGCAAGCCUGUCUUCAGGGAGUGGCAUAGAUUGGGGAAUGGCAGGGUAGCAGCAGGAGGUCUGGCUUGGUCUUCUGAGUUCCUUGACAGAUGGUGUAAGGAUAAGCUGGCCAUCACCUGAAGCUCCUCUCAGAAAGAAUUUGCAAGUUGGAAAUAGUGACACCUACCCAUUAUCCCAGUACUUGAAAUCUGAGACAGGAGAUGCGUGAGUUUGAGACCAGUUUGGUACUACACUUCAAAAUCAAAACCAUCCAUCAAAUGAUUAACUUCUGAAAAGCUUUCAGACUCCUGGUAUGAUGAGAAAGACAACAAACAGGCAGACAAACAGUCACAGAUAUAAGUGUUUUUUACAAAGGGAGAAAAUAAUCUAAGAAGGCAAAUGCUGGCAUCACUCUUGUGGCAAAUGUGCCUGAAGGAUGACCAGGAAGAUGUGCUCCUCAGACUGGGACCUGAAGGGAGAGACAGUUCCAGCCUUGUCCAAUGCAGGGGCAAGUCUGUUCCAGGUAGUGGAGCUGGGAGUGGGUGCCGGUGAAAGCGCUGGUGUGGUAAAGACCCUGAUGGGUUGUUGGAACCAAGAAGCCGUGAUGGUGACUCUCUGGCAGCUUCCCUCUGAAGAGUUACAUCAUCUCCCUUUGACCUUUGUGAGAUGUUUCCUUCCUUUUGCUCAUCAUCUUACAUUCUAAAAGGAGCCACAUGUGAAUGGAAGUUAGCUGCUAAGUCAUCCUUUAGAUUUUUCCAGAACCCCCAAUUCUGGUGGUUGUACAUAUUGCCUUCCUUAUUCUUCGAGUUGGUGCAGCAGCUACCCCAAAGCAUAUAAAUUACCGUGCUGCUUGGCUUGAAGGAAAGAAAUGUGUUUGUGGUUCCUUCUCCAGUAGGAAAAGGUCUCUUGGAAUAUUCAGAGAAAAGAAAAAUAUCAAUAAAAGAGUCGCAUGCCCUUGAUGGUGAUGAAGAUGCCAUUCUGUAUAUACGCCUGCUCAUUUUUCUCUCUUUUUU
ensembl:lncRNA